AUUGAACGCUGGCGGCAGGCUUAACACAUGCAAGUCGAGCGGUAACAGAGAGAAGCUUGCUUUUCUGCUGACGAGCGGCGGACGGGUGAGUAAUGCCUAGGAAUCUGCCUAGUAGUGGGGGAUAACUUGCCGAAAGGUAAGCUAAUACCGCAUACGUCCUACGGGAGAAAGGAGGGGACCUUCGGGCCUUUCGCUAUUAGAUGAGCCUAGGUCGGAUUAGUUAGUUGGUGAGGUAAUGGCUCACCAAGACCGCGAUCCGUAACUGGUCUGAGAGGAUGAUCAGUCACACUGGAACUGAGACACGGUCCAGACUCCUACGGGAGGCAGCAGUGGGGAAUAUUGGACAAUGGGGGGAACCCUGAUCCAGCCAUGCCGCGUGUGUGAAGAAGGUCUUAGGAUUGUAAAGCACUUUAAGUUGGGAGGAAGAGCAGUUAACUAAUAUUUGACUGUUUUGACGUUACCGACAGAAUAAGCACCGGCUAACUUCGUGCCAGCCGCCGCAGUAAGAC
rnacentral:rRNA from 1 species